GAUGAAGAACGCAGCAAAAUGCGAUAAGUAAUGUGAAUUGCAGAAUUCAGUGAAUCAUCGAAUCUUUGAACGCACAUUGCACCUCUCGGUAUUCCGGGAGGUAUGCCUGUUCGAGCGUCAUUUGUACCCUCAAGCUCUGCUUGGUGUUGGGUGUUUGUUCCGCCUCUGUGUGUGAACUCGCCUCAAAACAAUUGGCAGCCGGCGUACUUGUUUCGGAGCGCAGCACAUUUUGCGAUCCAGAUCAACGUACAGCGGCAUCCAAGAAGCCUUAUUUAACGCUCUUGACCUCGGAUCAGGUAGGGAUACCCGCUGAACUUAAGCAUAUCAAUAAGCGGAGGA
rnacentral:misc_RNA from 1 species